rnacentral:rRNA from 1 species
AUUGAACGCUGGCAGCGUGCUUUACACAUGCAAGUCGAACGGAACAGGCCGCAAGGUGCUGACGAGUGGCGAACGGGUGAGUAAUGCAUCGGAACGUGCCCAGUCGUGGGGGAUAACGCAGCGAAAGCUGCGCUAAUACCGCAUACGAUCUAUGGAUGAAAGCGGGGGACCGUAAGGCCUCGCGCGAUUGGAGCGGCCGAUGUCAGAUUAGGUAGUUGGUGGGGUAAAGGCUCACCAAGCCAACGAUCUGUAGCUGGUCUGAGAGGACGACCAGCCACACUGGGACUGAGACACGGCCCAGACUCCUACGGGAGGCAGCAGUGGGGAAUUUUGGACAAUGGGCGCAAGCCUGAUCCAGCAAUGCCGCGUGCAGGAAGAAGGCCUUCGGGUUGUAAACUGCUUUUGUACGGAACGAAACGGUCCUGGUUAAUACCUGGGGCUAAUGACGGUACCGUAAGAAUAAGCACCGGCUAACUACGUGCCAGCCGCCGCGGUAAAAC